GAUGAACGCUGGCGGCGUGCCUAAUACAUGCAAGUCGAGCGAACAGAUGAGAAGCUUGCUUCUCUGAUGUUAGCGGCGGACGGGUGAGUAACACGUGGGUAACCUACCUAUAAGACUGGAAUAACUCCGGGAAACCGGGGCUAAUACCGGAUAAUAUUUUGAACCGCAUGGUUCAAUAGUGAAAGACGGUUUCGGCUGUCACCUAUAGAUGGACCCGCGCCGUAUUAGCUAGUUGGUAAGGUAACGGCUUACCAAGGCGACGAUACGUAGCCGACCUGAGAGGGUGAUCGGCCACACUGGAACUGAGACACGGUCCAGACUCCUACGGGAGGCAGCAGUAGGGAAUCUUCCGCAAUGGGCGAAAGCCUGACGGAGCAACGCCGCGUGAGUGAUGAAGGUCUUCGGAUCGUAAAACUCUGUUGUUAGGGAAGAACAAAUUUGUUAGUAACUGAACAAGUCUUGACGGUACCUAACCAGAAAGCCACGGCUAACUACGUGCCAGCAGCCGCAGUAA
rnacentral:rRNA from 1 species